CUUGCUUCUGAGUAGUAACCAUAAGGGAAAAAAAAGCAGCACUAAGUUUCCUGGGCUUGGGAAUCCUGAAUACACCAGUUCCAGAGAAGGAAGAUAAUGUGGUGUCAACAAAAUACUUUGCAAACAAGGAAGUGGCAAGAUCCCGGGAGGAGAAGUGGCUCUGUGUGCAGCUCAGAAAUUGAGACCACGCCAUGGCGUCACAAAGCCACCGGAGCUCCAGGGCUGUGCUAAAAUACAGAAUGAGUGUCUUACUGCUAACCUGUGUGGUUCUGGAGGCUGGAAAUUCCAACAUCAAAGCACUGAUACUCAGUGUCUGGAAAAAUAGGAAAUUAAGUGUAUCCUGGUAGAGCAACUUGGUUGAUAAAGUAACACUUUUUCUCAUUAAGAGGAAGUUUGGGGCUCACUUCAUUUUACUCACUGCCACUCCUGAUGCAAAAGAG
rnacentral:lncRNA from 1 species